rnacentral:sRNA from 1 species
AGAAAAUGCUAAUAUAUAAUGUAUGUGUUAAUUAAUAUUAACUAAUUUGUCAACAUAAUUGUAUUUUUAUAUUUAAUAAUUCUAUCUUUAUCCUGGCAAGGUGUUUUUGUGUGUGUGUGUGUGUGUGUGUGUGUGUGUGUGUUUGUUUGUGUAGUGCUGGGGACUGAACCCAGAGCCUCACAUGCCAGGAAAGCACUCUACCACUGAUCCACAUCCCUAGCCCAUGGCAGAUUAUUUUA